rnacentral:sRNA from 1 species
CACACUGUUACCGGAGACAUGCUCCGUAACAAAAGCCGGGUUCAUCGGUAACGGGAACCCG